AUGGCGAGGCUCUUCACCACCGUCUCCUCCUCCUUCUUCUUCGUCGUCGUCGUCCUCCUCCUCCUCAGUGAAGUCUCACUCGCCGCCGCCGACGCCGAUGGGGACAACCCCAAGGUCAAGACGUUGUGCGCCGGCACGCCCUUCCCGGAGCUCUGCGCCUCCAUGAUCACGCGCGACAACGAGAACGUAAGCGCAAACGACGAGAGCCUUGUGGGGAUGGCGGCCCUCACCUCCGCCAAGCUCCUUCUUAACGCGACGGCCACCGCGAGCCCGGCGGUCCAGAGGGACAGCCACCCGGGCAUGAGCAAGGCCGACGAGAUCUGCUUCGAGACCUGUUUCAAGGAGCUGACCAACGCCGCCCAGACACUCGACAAGCUGUGCACGAGCAAGGUGCAGCUCCCCCAAAUCGACAACUUCAUCAAGUUCAACAAGGAGUCGCAUGUCGAGUGGAAUUGCGAGAGGUGUCGCCAAGGGGAAGCCAAGAACAUCGCCGACGAUGUCUCCAAGGACAACGAGGCCGGGAAGGCCAUGGCUGUCCUGGAGGCGCUCGUCAACAAAGUACUAACCAAAUAA
rnacentral:rRNA from 1 species